rnacentral:lncRNA from 1 species
CGGAUCUCUCGCACCCCGACCGUGCUCUCGGGGCUCCGCCACCGCGCCCGUGGCGCGCAGGCCGAGGGCAGGCGGGACCGAAGCCUCAGUAAAAGCGCUGCGCGCAGGCGAAAGAAACAUGGCGCUGGGAAGCAGUAUGUGCAAAAUCCGCAAGGAAUUGCAGUAAAUUCCUUUUUGUUUGAAGAAAAUUUACAACUUGGUAAUAGACCUUUUUAUGACCUAUUUGGGCUCGUCAUUGGCUGCGGCUGGUCAUGUGCAGGCAGCGAGCGCUUUCAUGGCCUUUUCCUGAUUUCCCUGGCGAAUUUCCCCCCGCAUUCUGCCUUCAGAGAGCCUCAGCCCCUCUUUUUCUAACCUUUGUCUAGGCUGAGGUGUAUGGCAGUCGCCCUCAUGUUUGUGCCCCGCUCCCCCAAACCCGCGGCCGGUCCCGCCGCCGCUGCACUGACACUUCCCCGGCCCCGCGCCGCCUCCUCUCCCGCGCCCACGGAGGGAUGCGCGGAGACCCGCGCCCGCCGCCGCGCCGCCUGCAGCCCCUGGGUCUUCUCCCACCGUUCGAUGCCCUCGCUGCCGCUAUCUUCUCCGGCACACGGAUUGCUACACGGGUGCAAAAUGGAUUACAGCUACCCUCCCGGGCUUCUCCGCAGGCGGGCAAUGCCGCGAACUGGUUCUGCAGUAUGGAAGAACAUCCACAGGGUUUUCGCAUCCCAGAUGGUCCUGCCUGAGCUGCGCCAGGGGGACCGAGGGGAGGGCGGAAGAUCAGUGUGCAUCAGGAACUGCUGCUGAACCUUUCUGGCUCCAGUGAGGAGCUGGGUGUGUUGGUCCUGGUCCUCCAGGCUGAGACCGGCUUGUCUCUCAAAGAGGGAGAGAAAGACUGCAGUAUUUGGAGAUUCAUUAGGUUGUACAUCGCCCUUCCCGUUUCUGCCAGCCCGGCUCUGACCCGGAGCAUGCAAAGGAGAGGAGUGUUUGGUGUGUGUUUGUUUGCCUUUCCCUGCUUCCUCUCCCUGUUUCCUGAUAAAUAAUCCAUUUCACUAUAUGUGCCAAGCUUCU